CCUACGGGGGGCAGCAGUGAGGAAUAUUGGUCAAUGGACGAGAGUCUGAACCAGCCAAGUAGCGUGAAGGAUGACUGCCCUAUGGGUUGUAAACUUCUUUUAUAUGGGAAUAAAACGUUCCACGUGUGGGUUUUUGUAUGUACCAUAUGAAUAAGGAUCGGCUAACUCCGUGCCAGCAGCCGCGGUAAUACGGAGGAUCCGAGCGUUAUCCGGAUUUAUUGGGUUUAAAGGGAGCGUAGGUGGAUUGUUAAGUCAGUUGUGAAAGUUUGCGGCUCAACCUUAAAAUUGCAGUUGAAACUGGCAGUCUUGAGUGCAGUAGAGGUAGGCGGAAUUCGUGGUGUAGCGGUGAAAUGCUUAGAGAUCACGAAGAACUCCGAUUGCGAAGGCAGCUCCCUGAACUGCAACUGACACUGAGGCUCGAAAGUGUGGGUAUCAAACAGGAUUAGAUACCCUAGUAGUC
rnacentral:rRNA from 1 species